AUUGAACGCUGGCGGCAUGCCUUACACAUGCAAGUCGAACGGCAGCACGGGAGCAAUCCUGGUGGCGAGUGGCGAACGGGUGAGUAAUAUAUCGGAACGUGCCCAGUCGUGGGGGAUAACGUAGCGAAAGCUACGCUAAUACCGCAUACGAUCUAUGGAUGAAAGCGGGGGAUCGCAAGACCUCGCGCGAUUGGAGCGGCCGAUAUCAGAUUAGGUAGUUGGUGAGGUAAGGGCUCACCAAGCCGACGAUCUGUAGCUGGUCUGAGAGGACGACCAGCCACACUGGGACUGAGACACGGCCCAGACUCCUACGGGAGGCAGCAGUGGGGAAUUUUGGACAAUGGCGCAAGCCUGAUCCAGCAAUGCCGCGUGCAGGAUGAA
rnacentral:rRNA from 1 species